CCUACGGGUGGCAGCAGUGGGGAAUAUUGCACAAUGGGCGCAAGCCUGAUGCAGCGACGCCGCGUCAGCGAUGAAGGCCUUCGGGUCGUAAAGCUCUGUCCUAAGGGAAGAAUAAUGACGGUACCUUAGGUGGAAGCCCCGGAUAACUACGUGCCAGCAGCCGCGGUCAUACGUAGGGGGCGAGCGUUAUCCGGAAUCACUGGGCGUAAAGGGUGCGUAGGCGGCCCUACAAGUCAGGAGUUAAAUCCCACGGCGCUACCGGGGUCAGCUCUUGAAACUGUAGGGCUUGAGUGCAGGAGAGCGGUGCGGUAUUCCUAGUGUAGCGGUGAAAUGCGUAGAUAUUAGGGGGAACGCCAGUGGCGAAGGCGGCUCUCUGGACUGCAACUGACGCUGAGGCACGAAAGCGUGCGGAGCGAACAGGAUUAGAUUACCCCAGUAGUC
rnacentral:rRNA from 1 species